GCAGCUUCCUUCCCCGUCUGUCACGUGGGGCUUGGCCUCCCCAGAGCUUUGGGUCACAGUCACCCCUUUCUGCCCUUUUAAGAAGCCCUGAGCGGAACGCCAACAUGCACUCUGCGGCCAGAAUGCUGAGAGUCCUCCUCCUUCUCCUUGAUGUUGGGGCCGCUCAAGUGUUAGCAACAGGCAAGACUGCUGGAGCUGAAACUGAUAUCAAAUAUGCCAUCAUCGGGACUGCUGUGGGCAUCGCCAUAUCGGCCGGCUUCCUGGCCCUGAAGUUCUGCAUGAUCAGGAAGCACAUGUUUGAUAACGAUUCCUCUGACCUGAGAAGCACAAACGUGGGCUUCAACGAGACCAUUGCACUAAAGAAGAGAGCUUCAAGAUGCUGCUGUGCAAAGAUGUUGCUGUGACUGUACAUCAAAAACCAAUUCAAGAGCAUUGAAUGAACAGUUACUAUGGUUUCAUGUUCCUACCUAUGAUCAGGUUAAACCUCAAUUUCUCUGAAAGAAAUGCACAAGUGAUUGAGCUCUGAGUGAGCAGCCUCUUCAGGAGGGCAGUUUGGACAGCUACUCAUUGGAGACAGCUUGAAUUUGAGCAUCCAAAGCUGGUGAUGGACCUUUACAUGGAACUCAAAAUACAGAGCAAAUAAACUUAUAGAAUCUACAGUGCCUCUGUCCUGAAAGAAAAUAGUGUUUCUCUUCUGCAAAGAGCUGACUGCAUAAAGGGAUAUAAGAGUACUCUUUCCAGCAGUAAGAAAGUUUGGAAGUCAAUACAUGCUCACUGCCUAUCCUGGUUUCCAGUGUCAGAGUUGUUCAUGCUUCAUGAUGACAUUGUGUCCGUGGAUCCUAUCAGUAGCAAGUGGCUCAUGGAAUGAGAACCAAACUCAAGACACAGCUUCUUUAGCACCAGUCUACCAAGAGGUGAACAGCCUUGUCUAGAACUAUUGGCCUCAACUUCUUAGCUGUCAGAAGAAUCCAUCUGUCAACAUUCAAGGGAACUGAAACGUGAAAAUCUUUGGGCAGUCUCCAUUUCUAUAAAUGACUGAGAGACCUUCCAAAAGAAGAAAUGCAGCCUGGGCUGGAGUGGGAGAAAGGGAUCUGACAGCUAUGGAAUGGCCCCACAGCUCUGCAGCUUUCAAAUGGCGGUACCCAGAAAGGAUGAAAAGAGAAAGCAGCUGCCAUGGCUUGUAGUGAGCUAUACCAAAGAAAGUGAUUAUUGUUAUUAUUGUUGUUAUUGUUAUUAUUGUUAUUGUCAUAGUCAUGACAAUGUCCUUACCUCAUGGAGGACGUAACCAGAAGAGACAUAAAUGCAAGGCUGCAUGAUGCAGACCCCAUUCACACUUCUCUCCCCUUAAUAUUAACCCUGGGUUUCUGGGCUGCAUUAAGGAAUACUCUUUGCCUUUUCAUUCAAUAGAAAUCCAGUGGGCUACAAGGACUGGUUCUCCUUAGAUUAGGUUACUCACCUUGUGUGUGGUAAAAGAUGAGUUAUAUUUCAAAACAAAGCGCUCUGUUGUAAUAAUUUGCCUGAACUCCCAGGGCAUCUUUUAUCUGACUUGAUAACAAUGUAGUUCAUUAGCAGCCUUGGUUAACUGAUAACCUAAAGCGGCAAUGCGAUACUCAUAAGCAAUUUUCUGUGUGUUAGAUAGAAUAAACCAUCUUGUAAGGUAUCUGAUAAGUGAUUUGCUCCUUUUAGCAGCAUUUUAAUUAAGACAGCUGGUUGGGAACUGAAGGUGAAUGCUUCUGGAGUCUCAGUAAUCAUUGUAAUAUCUAUAAACUCAAUAGAAUGUCGGGUCCUUUCCCUCACCCCACAUCAUGACAUUUUCCCAGCACCACUCCCAGCCUCCAGUUUUGUUUGAGUCCCACCCAGAGUCUCCUGUGUGAAGAACACAGAGAAGUAUGCUGAAUGCUGGUGAUUUCUCCUCAUCUUCUAACGGCAGACAUGCUGAGGGAAGCAGAAUGGGCUGGGGGUUCUAGGCAAUUGGCUUCCUUGGCUUAUAUCCCAAUUCCAAGCUCAGUGACUUCCUUCUGUAGCAGUCCUACAGAAAGCCAUUUUUGACAGCCUGUCUUGAUGGGAGCAGCUCCUGGGGAUAGAGGUGCCAAUGAGCAGAAACUCUUGGAUGUGUUUUUGAAGCAACCACACUAAGUCAUUGUGUCUGUAGGUGCAAUGUCCUGAGUGAGAGCCAUCUCUCCUGUCCUACGCUGUGGUUUGGGAGGAUACUACAAGAAGCCAAGGACUAGGAUAAACCCUGCCCUCCUAGCUCAGUAGACUCUGAGUCCCCCAGAACACAUGCAGACCCCAGACAGCCCAUCUCAACAGGCAGAACAUCCUGCCCAAAGGAGAAGUGACAGAUGAUACUAAAAUACCUGUGGGUGGAGUGAGCUGCAGAUCUCAGCAACCAGGCAGGAUCUAAAGGCAUAGCUGUGGUUUGCUGCCUCUGCGACUCAGUACCUGGAGGAGAAGGUAAGAUGGGAGAGAAUUAUCUAGCAAGAUCAACAAAUUCCAAAUAUAUAUCCAUCUCUAUGGGCUUCCCAGAUGCCUCAGUGGUUAAAAAAUUCUCCUUCCAAUGCAGGAGUUACAGGAGACACAGGUUCGACACCUGGGUCAGGAAAAUCCCCUGGAGGAAGAAAUGGCAACCCACUCCAGUAUUCUUGCCAGAAUAAGCCCAUAGGCAGAUGACCCUGGCCGGCUAUGGUCCAUGAGGUCACAAAGAGUCAGACAUGACCCAGCAACUAAACACGCACACAUCAAUCUCUAUAUCUUCAAGUUAAAAAUAUAUUUUACAUGGAAUCUAUAAAUUAAAAUAAAUAUGUAAAAAUAAAAUAAAUAUAUGCAUAUAU